UAGGAAAACUAACACAGCAGGCUUAUGCUGAUGGAGCAGAUGCAAGCCUGUGAGCCAGCACGGAUUUCCCAGGAACGUUGCUGUUCGCUAGGCCACGUGCUGGCCUCACAGCUGGUGAUGAGAAGGCGAAGACAGAGUCAGCUUAACCAAGGCACUGUGGGCUCUGUGAAAGCCUUUGGCUUCAUCUUAUGCACCAGAACAGGCCACUGAAGGGCUGU
rnacentral:lncRNA from 1 species